rnacentral:ncRNA from 2 species
AUCAGUCAAGGCGAUGAGGUUCGCCUUUAACCGUCCUUUUAUUGAGAAAGGAUUGAUAACUUCUACCGGGUC